rnacentral:rRNA from 1 species
UACAGAGGGUGCAAGCGUUGUUCGGAAUUACUGGGCGUAAAGGGCGCGUAGGCGGCGUGUCAAGUCAGGCGUGAAAGCCCCGGGCUCAACCUGGGAACCGCGCUUGAGACUGGCAUGCUCGAGUUCGGGAGAGGAUGGUGGAAUUCCCAGUGUAGAGGUGAAAUUCGUAGAUAUUGGGAAGAACACCGAUGGCGAAGGCAGCCAUCUGGACCGACACUGACGCUGAGGCGCGAAAGCGUGGGGAGCAAACAGG